GCUUCGCUAGCUCAGUCGGUAGAGCGUCAGUCUCAUAUUCAAAACUUGAGUAAGUCAUCUGAAGGUCGAGAGUUCGAACCUCCCGCGGAGCA
rnacentral:tRNA from 1 species